AUUGAACGCUGGCGGCAGGCCUAACACAUGCAAGUCGAACGAGUGGCGGACGGGUGAGUAAUGUAUGGGAAACUGCCUGAUGGAGGGGGAUAACUACUGGAAACGGUAGCUAAUACCGCAUACCAUCAGAUGUGCCCAGAUGGGAUUAGCUUGUUGGUGGGGUAACGGCUCACCAAGGCAACGAUCCCUAGCUGGUUUGAGAGGAUGACCAGCCACACUGGAACUGAGACACGGCCCAGACUCCUACGGGAGGCAGCAGUGGGGAAUAUGGCACAAUGGGUGCAAGCCUGAUCCAGCCAUGCCGCGUGUAUGAAGAAGGCCUUCGGGUUGUAAAGUACUUUCAGCGGGGAGGCGUUACCCGCAGAAUAAGCACCGGCUAACUACGUGCCAGCCGCCGCGGUAAUAC
rnacentral:rRNA from 1 species